rnacentral:lncRNA from 1 species
AAGUCCAGUUUAAUAAGAAAUAUAAGAUAAUCGAUACUUGGCUUUCCUAGUGACAAAUCUGAUAUAAUAGCAUUAACCAGUGCUUGUAAAUAGCUACUUGGAUCAAUUUCUGUAUCGUUUAUGUUAAGUUUCUUCAGAGGACGGAAAAUUGUUUAAGGUCAGAUUACAGUGUUCAAAAAGGAAAUUAACUCAACUUUGAUUUGACACGAAUCACCCUAGAAAGUAAAAUCCCUAAGACAGAACAAAAAUGGACCAAAUAGAGAAACAAAAACAUAAACAGAACCUUAAUCUGGAAAGUGGAAACUGGAAAGCAAUUACAGGAUAUUUAACACGAAUCACCUCCUUG